ACACGGCCGCCCUGGGACAGUGGAAGGCUGGUUGUUUCCUGACGGUGUCCUGGGUUGAGUGUUGGCACCUCUGAUGUCAGUGGCAUCCCAGACUGGGGUUGGAGGUCUUGAGAACUGUGACAAGAAGCCAAAAUUUCUCUGUUUGUCUUCUACAACAAGCGUGCAAAGUUCUUUUGUCCCCCUAGCUUUACUGAGAUAAACCCAUAUGGGAUGCGGUAACAGCUUAGUAAGACGGACAUCGUGAUGAUUUGAUACACGCAUAUGUUGCAAAGUGAUCAUCACAAUAAGGUGUGGAAAGCAGGUUCACUGACCAACUUUAACUUGUGAAACGGAUGUCACACAGAAGUGGGUCAAGGGAGAUGUCGCAGCUUCAGAUACUUUGAACCUGACCUUUAUUGUCUCUUUCUGUUAGCAACCAUCUUUUUACUAAGGUCGAUCCAUAGACUGCAAGGCAUUUCCAUGAGUCUGAACAUUCUGGAAGUUGCAUACAAAUGUGUGCAAAUAGUUCAGUAGCUUCUUGCUGCGGACUAAGCCAUCCUUCGUUACAAACCGUGGAAGGGUAACUUCUCGCUGACCAGCUUGCCUAGCGUGUAGGGCACUGGGAAUGUUUCCUGGAAUUUGGCCUCUGUCUGCCAGUGCCGAAUUGAAAUGCAGAGACAGAGUUUUGGGUAAAGGAGAAAAAAAAAUAGCUUCAUUGCUUUGCCAGACAAAGGAGGGUCACAGCAGGCUAAUGCCUUAAAGACUCUGCCUCCCAUUAGAAAGAACUGCAGGGAGUUUUAUAGCAAGAAGGAGAGAAACAGGAUUUCAGAUAGGAAUCAGGAUUAAGACAAACACGCAUUCAUCUUUCUUCGGGGGAAUCGUACUCAUCAAAGCUGGAGUCCGGAGAUCUCAGCAUGAUCACGAUGGUGGGCUUCGGGGUCAUUGCCUAGAAUAACAGCACCUUCCAAAAGGGCACAGUGAUCAGAGAUCAGAACAAACUAGGAAAGUUCACCAUGAAAAACAUCAUGUGCUAAUCGUCUUUAACCCACAGGCAAGUAUGAUCAGGGUGCCUAAUCUUUAACUCACGGGGGACUGUGCUUGGGACGCAGUUAAGACUCUAAGCUGUUCGGUUGUGAAGUACCCCUUUCAAAAAGAAGCUUUUCUCUCAGGGGUAUGAGGCGCCUGCAUCAUGAACACAGCAGAGCAAGUGAGACAGCAGGUGGUCCUCCCUGAACCUUGGCUCUGCUGCCAUGGGGGCGGGUCCUUCUGUGCCCUCGGGGCUGGACUGUGCACUGCAGAUGCUGCAUAUCCUCCCUACAAGUCCCAGGACCUCCCUAAAAGUCCCCUGGGCGGUACAGUAUCCCUGGUACGGAACCACUGAGUUGACAGGGGAGGAUGAUGGGUGUGGUAGCGGACACAUGACUUGAGUGGCACCGUUAAGUAUAUCUGCCAAAUAGCUAUCUUCGCUAUUUUCCACCGUUCACUGUGAAUUCACACAGUUUUCAAAUGUUGCUUUCUUUCCAGAUUCCGGGUUUCUCAACUUUUCCUCCUUGAGUUUACGCUCUCUGACCCUAUUUUCACAUAAAAAAGGAAUGUAUUAGUAAUUCUAACCUAGCUAAAUCCAUUGCCUUGACUGCAUCAUAAACAUAGUUUUAUUGUAAGUUUAUUUUGUUUCCGCCAGCACUGACUGUGUUGUCGUUAAACCGAACUGGCCUGAGUCAUAAUAAAUGUCUGGUUGUUGGGUGUGGCUUCCUACCAGCAGGCCCACAUCCUACCCAGAUGGGCUUAUUCUCAACACUGGCACUUUGUGGUCUAAGGCUUAAAAUGGAAAAAAAAAAAAAAAGUCAUAUUUAUGUAGUUCUUAACAGCAAGGUUUUUUUAACAGAGAGUUGAAAGUUACGGGUCUGAGAUCCAAUGUGCUCCUGUCUUUAGGGUAGUGUCCUUUCAGCACUGACAAAAACACAACGGGGGAGCGGAGCAGGGAUCAGGGGCUUCCCUUGAUCAAUCUCCCACAUCAGAUGUUCUUGUUUGUAGGCUUCUAAGCAAGACAGGAGACGGGUUCUGGCGUUUAGACCGUCCCUCCCUGUUUCACCGGCGAGAACACUUGGUCUUUGCUGCCCUGGACCACUGAGCAUGUCCUGUUCGGAUACCCUGGCCCCUCCUCUGUUAGGCGGUCAAGGCAAUAGUCGCUGCUUCCGGAGGCGCAGAACCCCAGCAGAAGGCCCAGUGUGCCCUUGUGAACAGGAAUGACCCGGUGGGUGGAGGGUUAGAGAGGAGACCGCGCAAAGCCCGGGGCCAGUGCCUGCGGCGCAGAGCGAAGCCGCGCUGGCAGCCACCCUGCUACCAUGGCUGUUGUCCUCCUCACCAUCGCUCCUGUUGUCCUGCGCUCAGCACCCCCUCAGACGUCUGACUGUUUCGAAUGCCGGGUGAAGCAGAGUAAGGGGUGACUGAGGAGGUUGUUGGGGCGAGUUCCGGAGCAGCCUUUCACCGGGGCCUGUGCCCUGUGCUCAGCCUUCCCUCCCCACCCCAAGUAAUCCCGAGUGCCAACUCCAACUGCCUCCUUUGUGCCUGGUCGCAAGUCUGGCCCUGGCUUGUAGGAAAGCGUAGGACGCAGGUCCGUUGAGCAGGUAAAGCAAACACACAUUACAUGAGGAAGGGGGGGGGGCGCUCAGUGAUGUGAGCGAGGCUAGUGUGAGUUCUGAAGCAGGAAAGACCACAGGGGUUGGAGAAGAUGUGGAGACCAGUUUGGGAAGAUGGAGCAGAGAAGAGGGAGGGAGGAGGAGGAGAACAACCCAGAGGUGUGGUGUGACGGGUGGGGCGCAGCGGCCUAAAACCUAGGCUGGUGGUCAUGGCAGGGCAAGGAAGAGACGAAGCUGAAAGAUGCCUACGGGAAAGUAAUGCGGUGCUGAGUAGGGAGCCGGGAAAUAAAGAUGAGAGGGGACUGGGCCCUUUCCAGUGACGCUCUUUAGCUCACACAUUCAACUGGCAGGUGACGGAAGGGCAGCGCAAUUCCAGACUGCGUAUCAGUGGGGACGCAGGUCGUUGGGUGUACACGCGCAGGGGAGGAGAACCGACUUUCCCUCUGCUCUUCCGGGGUCUCGGCUCAGACCUCUGCAGUAAGACAGAGUAACAGGCGAAAGACAGAUAGCACUCCCCUGGAUAGGUCCUGUACACAGGGCAGAGCCCCAGGACACCUAACCCCCCAACGUGGCCCCGCGCGCCACCUGCAGUACCAUCUCCGGCUCAAGACAAAGGACAUGUGGGUGGGGAGGUGAGUUACCCGAGGUCACCAGGAAAAGCCCCGUGAACAGGGGGAGGCUGUUGUGCAGAUCCGAGUCCUGAGAUGGCCCCUGACGACCUUCUGGGGCUUUGGUCAUCCUCCUCUCCCUGGAAGAGGGGAGGAGACACCCUCACAAAGGGAGCAUUUCCCCUGUAAAUGUAAAUUUCCCUUCCCAAAGGGUCAUUUCCACUCUCUUUCCCAAGCUUCCCCAAACGAUCUGCUCUGAAUCAUCUUUGUGCCAAGCGGAUGUAUCUGGGGGUGGCAGAGUCGGCUCCCCCUCACCACCCUCCAAUAUGCCUCUCUGACAUAUGGAUUAUUUGAGGCAGUGCAGACACUGGAGACGCUCUGGAAACAGAGCAUGAGGUCCUGGUCUGUUGUAGGCGACGCGGACGUUAGAAGGGAGGCCUGCACCAGGAGGCAGGCGAGCUGCUACCAGCAUGAAUUCCCUCUUCUCCCCUCUGAAGUCCCAGACCCAGUCCUGGUCCUCAGAGCAAGACGGCCCAGCUGCCUUUUGGGUCCCACAUCUUGGUCGGGGCUCCAGUAAACAAAAGGAAAAGCCGGAAACUUCCUGUUAGAACACUUAAUCACCUUCCUACUUUGAGGGGAAGUAUAAGCAACGAUCAAAAAGACAUUCCUGGAGUUCCCUGGUGGCGUAGCGGGUUAAGGACCUGGCAUCACUGCUAUGGCAUGCAUUUGAUCCACAUGGCUGGCUUGGGCACGUCCACAUGCCAUGGGCGCGGCCAAAAAAAUAAAAGAAAGAAAGAAAGAUUUCAA